GGCCUGAUGGCGGAGUGGUGACGCAGCGGACUGCAAAUCCGCGUACCCGGGUUCGAUUCCCGGUCAGGCCUCCA
rnacentral:tRNA from 1 species